CCCCCAGAAGCUCUGUAGACAGAGCAUGAGACUCAUAAUGUCAGGGUUGUGGGUUCGAGACCCAUUUGGGGCA